CUGCAAGAACACGUGAACAAAACUGUCCUCCAGUUUUCAGCCUCUCUACAGUUCAGCACACAGUGUAACACAUUGGCUGAGGACAAAUAUAAAACCACAAAGUCAGACUUGCAGUUAAUCUUCCACUGAUUAAUAAGCACACUUAGUCUGGUGACAGAAGUCUUAAGGAUAAAACACAACCCGCACUGUCAACAAGGUUCAUCAGAGAGCAAAGAGGAUGAAUGCUUUGUAAAUAGAAUAUAGUCUAGACCAGCUUGUCUUUGUUUAGCGUCUUGGGAUAACACUUGCUUUGAAUUGGCACCACAUAAAUAAAGAUUGAUCGCUGCCAGAUGUGAACAAA